CACAUCCCGACAAACUACCUACCUACCUAUCCGAACGAGGCGUCAACGGCGCUGACGAACACGAGCCUGCCGGGUCACCAGCAAUGAUGGAGGAAGAAGACUAAAUUAUGCCUGCUAUGAGUCCACCCGUUCCCGUCGGAAGUCGGAAGACCUUCCCCUAACGAACCCGACCUAAGUUGAGCACAGGUCUCGCGCGGCUUCAAGCCACUGAUUCCACCCCACGACUUCCUGAUCUGGAAGCGCUCACACCACCAAUGUGCUUACCUAAAGAUCAGGCAUUCUCGGCCACGAACAUGGAUUACAUAGGAAACACUUCGGGGAGUUGGGGGAGGGAAUGUUGGCAGCCUUGGUCACUUGUCAGGAUCGUUGGACGUGUCGACAUGUAGUGCUCCGUUUGGGACAUGGAUGUAUGGCAAGGCAUGUGGCAAUCUCGUGCAACGGGCUGGUGGGAGAAGGACAAGGCGGAACAAAAGGACUUUAUGAGAAACGAAGAAAAGGAGGCAAGGAGGAGGUUGGACAAUGAAAGACAAAAGGUAGCAGGCGGCAAAUGUUUACAAGAAAGCCUGGCGAGAGGCAUCA